CGUAGGAUCCGAGCGUUAUCCGGAUUUACUGGGCGUAAAGAGUUGCGUAGGUGGCGGAGUAAGUGAACAGUGAAAGCGUGCGGCUCAACCGCAUAUACAUUGUUUAAACUGCUCAGCUUGAAGAUGAGAGAGGUCACUGGAAUUCCAAGUGUAGGAGUGAAAUCCGUAGAUAUUUGGAGGAACACCGAUGGCGUAGGCAGGUGACUGGCUCAUUCUUGACACUAAGGCACGAAAGCGUGGGGAGCAAACGGGAUUAGAUACCCCGGUAGUCCACGCCGUAAACGAUGGAUGCUAGCUGUUAGGAGUAUCGACCCUCCUAGUAGCGUAGCUAACGCGUUAAGCAUCCCGCCUGUGGAGUACGGUCGCAAGACUA
rnacentral:rRNA from 1 species